CACCAUAACCACAAGCGUAGUCCAAUGCUACUUGUAAUGCCGUCGGUGAUGCACUUGGGCUCGCAACACACCAGCUAGCUCCAGGUGAAGAUGUUGUGGUUGGUGUUAUCAUGGGCGUCAUGGUUGUCGGAGAUGUAGAAUCUGGGUCUGAAUUCGGGUUUACAAUGGGAGUCGAUGAAGUUGGAUCGGUAGGAAUGAUCGUCGGAACAGUGGUUAUCGGAGUGGUAAUAUCCUUUUGGCUCCUGGAAAUAGAAGUAAGAUGAUGUUUUGUUCCAUGAUCUAGUCUGCUAAAAUGUCCAAAUGCAGUAAUUCUUGAACCUGAAGAGUGAAAGAGAUCAAAUAGGAAGAAUACUAAAUAACAGAUAACUCUGCCACCCAUAUGCAUGAGCCGCCAACCCAACCCUCUUCUUCUUCUUUCCUCCUCCUUCUUUCCUUUAUUCGAUCCAACAAAGCUUCAUUUACAGAAGCAUAUCAAUGAUCUUGCUUGAUCGACAGGAUGAGGGAUCUUAAUUAAUUUACAGAAGCAUCGAUAGAUGAUAUUGUGGAGGAGGAAUAGAUUUUGCAAUCCUUUGCCUUGUUCUGAGGAUGGAUAUAAAGAAUACAUAUAUUUGCAUAUAUAUAAAAGUGGAUAAUUGGCCAAUCUGAAGAGCGUGAGAAAGAGAGAGAGAGAGAGUACUGAGGAAGAUUUGAGAAAGGAGACAUGGGGAGUAGAGGAGGAGGGGGCAAGCAAGAGAAAGAAGAAGAGAAAAGGAGGGAAAAGGUAAGAAGAAGGUUGAAAAAGAAGUAAAAGAGAGAAUUGUUUUGGAAUUUAGGUUUGGUGUAUGGGCUGGUAAGUGGCGUUUGUAAUGAUGAUGAUGAUGUUUGCAUUUUGCCUUUUUUCCUGUUUAAUAUUAUUAUUGUUUCUGCUGC
rnacentral:misc_RNA from 1 species